rnacentral:tRNA from 1 species
GGGCCUGUAGCUCAGUUGGUUUAGAGCAGUCCGCUCAUAACGGAUUGGUCGCAGGUUCAAGUCCUGCCAGGCCCACCA